rnacentral:rRNA from 1 species
UGCAAGUUGAACGUGAAGCCUAGUACCUAGUAUUGGGUGGAAAGUGGCGAACGGGUGAGUAACACGUUGGUGACCUGUCCCGAGGAGGGGGAUAACCGUGGGAAACCACGGCUAAUACCCCAGAUGUCUGGAUUGCUAGAGGAUCUAGACUAAAGCUCCGGCGCCUUGGGAGGGACCUGCGGGCUAUCAGCUUGUUGGUGGGGUAAAGGCCUACCAAGGCUAAGACGGCUAGGGGGCGUGAGAGCGCGACCCCCCACAAUGGAACUGAGACACGGUCCAUACUCCUACGGGAGGCAGCAGUGAGGAAUAUUGCGCAAUGGGGGCAACCCUGACGCAGCAACGCCGCGUGGAUGAUGAAGGCCUUCGGGUUGUAAAAUCCUUUUCUGAGGGACGAUAAUGACGGUACCUCAGGAAUAAGUCCCGGCUAACUACGUGCCAGCAGCCGCGGUAAAACGUAGGGGGCGAGCGUUAUCCGGAUUUAUUGGGCGUAAAGCGCACGUAGGCGGCGCUGUAGGUUGGACGUGAAAGCUCCCGGCUCAACUGGGAGAGGUCGUUCAAUACUGCGGUGCUUGAGGUUGGAAGAGGAGAGUGGAAUUCCCGGUGUAGUGGUGGAAUGCGUAGAUAUCGGGAGGAACACCAGUGGCGAAGGCGGCUCUCUGGUCCACACCUGACGCUGAGGUGCGAAAGCGUGGGGAGCGAACGGGAUUAGAUACCCCGGUAGUCCACGCUGUAAACGAUGGAUACUAGGUGUAGGAGGUUAUUUACCCCUUCUGUGCCGUAGCUAACGCGUUAAGUAUCCCGCCUGGGGACUACGGCCGCAAGGCUAAAACUCAAAGGAAUUGACGGGGGCCCGCACAAGCAGCGGAGCGUGUGGUUUAAUUCGAUGAUACGCGAAGAACCUUACCUGGGUUUGGCAUGUUGGUAGUAGUGAA